rnacentral:lncRNA from 1 species
GGCAAGGUCCUUUUAUAUGUAAAUCUUAUUUUGCCACUAACUAUUGUAAAGCUUUAUAGAAGCUAAAAAUUUAAAAACUCGAGUCAGAUAGAGGCAAAUACAGAGCUGUAUUUUCAGUCUCUGUAGAAACUUUGAAAUUAGGUGACCAGCUCUACUCAGUGCUGAGAUUACUCAUUAUGCUGUCAGUGUAUAAUUAUCAGUCUACUAUUUGUAAUUUCUCUGGGCCAAAGUAUCCUAUUUGCUAUUGAAUACUACUUAAAAGAACAUCAUUGAUCUACGCCACACGUUAUGAGUUUAAAAGUCUUCUCAUCAGAGGAUAUUACACCCUUACAAAUAAA